UCACCUUUCACAGUUUCGAGAGUUACUAAGAGCAACCCAACGCAUCUCCGACUCCAACAUUAAUUGCCAAAGUAAUAAAGAUACCAUCAAAAGCCAAAUAUUUACUCUUUUCUGUCAUUCUACUCAACCCUCCAAAGGGGAAAAAAAAUGCAAUCCUUGUUAAACCUCCAUUGCUCCUAUGGCCUUCCUCUCUGUGUUUCAGGGAUUGCCCAUCACCUCACUCUCUCUAAAGAGAUGGCAGAUCAUGAUCGCAGAAGGGAGGCCAUAAAAAGGCAGAGAUCACAAGCCAGAAAAGAACUGCAUGCAAAUCAAGAUUUGGGUACUCGGGGAAACCAUGAGAGAGUGUUAUUUGGAGAGAUCAAUGAAGGUGAGGUUGGUGGAGAUCUUGCUUGUGUUUUUAAUGAUCUGUCCCACACUAACUCGCCUUGUACAGCAAAAGCUGCUUAACUUUACUGAAACUACUUCCUUUUUUUUCUUCUUGCCAUUAGAAUUGUAAUUUGCAGCCAUGUUUGGACUUUGGACAUGCUGUCUGCUUUAUUUGCUUGUUUAUAUUUCUCUGUUAUUUUUUCCUUUUUUUCCUUGGUGGGCUUAAUUUGUUUGUUAGUUAUGUUU